CUCUUCAGGAACUACCAUGUCUUCUUUCCCAUUUACAUCACUUCAUAGCCCACACCUUAACAACAAACACCAUUCAAUCUUCAAUUCAAUGCCUGUCUUUUCUUUCUUAACAUGCUCUUGCCCUCUUCUUGUCAAGAAGAAGCACCUGCUGCUAUCACUUGAUCUUCAAGUCAUCGCCAACUUCUGGGACCCAGUACCAGCAGCACUUAGGCUUCCAUCACAAAUGGAGAAUGAGGCCGAGGACGUUUGAUAUUUCAUGGUGCUAUCCUAAUUGAGCUUCUCUAUUUUAUUUUUCUUCUUUCUUUUAAUUUCACUUCACCAUCAUCUACUUGAUCUCUUUCAUACUUUCUCUUGUGUCAUCCUACAUUUCUUGUGUCUUUCCUUUCUUUCUUGACCUUGCAAGACUUUUAUGUCUUUGCAUAACCAUCCUCACCACCCUCCAUUGACUUCUUGUCUUGUGUUCUUUACUUCAUCUUUAUCAACCCUCCUAUAUUAACCAUCCUUGUCUAUCCCUCUUGAGCUUGAUUAAGUACUAUGGAUUUGCAGUUUGUUCUUAGUUUUAUAUGAUUUGUAUUAUCUCCAUGUACUGUGUACUAUAGGGUUGGUUGAAUAAUAUUUUUCUGAAGAAGGUUAUGUUA
rnacentral:lncRNA from 1 species